rnacentral:rRNA from 1 species
GCUCAGAACGAACGCUGGCGGCAUGCCUAACACAUGCAAGUCGAACGAACCCUUCGGGGUUAGUGGCGCACGGGUGCGUAACGCGUGGGAAUCUGCCCUUUGCUUCGGAAUAACAGUUAGAAAUGACUGCUAAUACCGGAUGAUGUCUUCGGACCAAAGAUUUAUCGGCAAGGGAUGAGCCCGCGUAGGAUUAGGUAGUUGGUGGGGUAAAGGCCUACCAAGCCGACGAUCCUUAGCUGGUCUGAGAGGAUGAUCAGCCACACUGGGACUGAGACACGGCCCAGACUCCUACGGGAGGCAGCAGUGGGGAAUAUUGGACAAUGGGCGCAAGCCUGAUCCAGCAAUGCCGCGUGAGUGAUGAAGGCCUUCGGGUCGUAAAGCUCUUUUACCAGGGAUGAUAAUGACAGUACCUGGAGAAUAAGCUCCGGCUAACUCCGUGCCAGCAGCCGCGGUAAUACGGAGGGAGCUAGCGUUGUUCGGAAUUACUGGGCGUAAAGCGCACGUAGGCGGCUACUCAAGUCAGAGGUGAAAGCCCGGGGCUCAACCCCGGAACUGCCUUUGAAACUAGGUAGCUGGAAUCUUGGAGAGGUCAGUGGAAUUCCGAGUGUAGAGGUGAAAUUCGUAGAUAUUCGGAAGAACACCAGUGGCGAAGGCGACUGACUGACAAGUAUGACGCU